AUUGAACGCUGGCGGCAUGCCUUACACAUGCAAGUCGAACGGCAGCACGGGUGCUUGCACCUGGUGGCGAGUGGCGAACGGGUGAGUAAUACAUCGGAACAUGUCCUGUAGUGGGGGAUAGCCCGGCGAAAGCCGGAUUAAUACCGCAUACGAUCUACGGAUGAAAGCGGGGGACCUUCGGGCCUCGCGCUAUAGGGUUGGCCGAUGGCUGAUUAGCUAGUUGGUGGGGUAAAGGCCUACCAAGGCGACGAUCAGUAGCUGAUCUGAGAGGACGACCAGCCACACUGGGACUGAGACACGGCCCAGACUCCUACGGGAGGCAGCAGUGGGGAAUUUUGGACAAUGGGCGAAAGCCUGAUCCAGCAAUGCCGCGUGUGUGAAGAAGGCCUUCGGGUUGUAAAGCACUUUUGUCCGGAAAGAAAUCCUUGGCCCUAAUACGGUCGGGGGAUGACGGUACCGGAAGAAUAAGCACCGGCUAACUACGUG
rnacentral:rRNA from 1 species